GAAGCAUAAUUAAAUUCAGCUUCACUUCAUCCCUCUCUUCUUCUAUAAUUGCAAAUCAUCAAGCUGUAAUGCUUGUAUUUCACAUGGUAUCAGAGCUACAAGCUCAAUACUGAGCAUAUUUCGAUCAAUUUUUCAUCGAGUUCUCUGCAAAAUUUGAGAUCUCUGUUUUCAGUUUCUUCUUCUUCGCGAUUCUGAUAUACUCUGCACUUCGAUCCUUCCACUUAUGGCUCCCAAAAUUGAUCAGAGUGAUCCUUUUUCAUUGAUGCUUCUGAUAGUUCCAGUGUUGUACAUGUUCCAAUCAAAUUAACUGUUCAGAAAAUUAUAGUUUGUGGAGUCGAUCGAUGCGUAUUGUUUUCUUAGGGAAGAGGAAGUUUGGUUUUGUUACUGAACCUACAACAAAGAGUCAUACAGAGAGGAACUCCAUGAAUAAUGGGAAACAUGUAAUGCCAUUUUCCUUUCCUUGAUCAUGAAUACCGUGAGUGAGAAUUUACUGUCUGGUAUUGUUUAUGCCCCAAGUGCUUAUGCAGUUUGGGAAGAUCUGAAGGAGAGAUAUGACAAGGUGAAUCGUAUGUGUAUAUAUCAAUUGCGUCAUGAAAUCAAUAUUCAUUCUCAAGGACCACUUCAAUGGCAAGGUGAAGGGGAUUGAUAGACAAGAGGGUGGACUAGAUAUUCUUAAAGGUGAAUAGAAAGGAGAUAAUAAUCAUACAGAAUCAAACCACUGUAGAUUCAUUGCAGAAGUAUUAGUUUUUAGUUGCAGCUUAUGGCACCAAAGACUUGGGCAUCCAGUUUCUCAGGUUUUAAGAUGCUUAAAUAUUCUUCAGAGUCCUAGUGAUGUAAAUACAUUGAAUAAAUGUACUGUGUGUCCUCUAGCAAAAUAGACAAGACUGUGAUUUCCUACAAGUACUACUAGGUCUUCUGUAUGUUUUGAACUCGUACACAUGGAUUUAUGGGGUCCAUAUAGAUCGUCUACCUUUGAUAACAAGUAUUAUUUUUCGACUAUGGUAGAUGACUAUAGUAGAUA